GAUGAACGCUGGCGGCGUGCCUAACACAUGCAAGUCGAGCGUGAACCCUGCGAAUGAAACUUCGGUCGAUUUUGCAGGGGGAAAGCGGCGGACGGGUGAGUAACGCGUAGGUAACCUGCCCCAUACUGAGGGAUAGCCUCGGGAAACCGGGAUUAAUACCUCAUAACACCGUAUAUUCGCAUGGAUGUGCGGUCAAAGAUUUAUCGGUAUGGGAUGGGCCUGCGUCUGAUUAGCUGGUUGGUGGGGUAACGGCCUACCAAGGCGACGAUCAGUAGCCGACCUGAGAGGGUGAUCGGCCACAUUGGAACUGAGACACGGUCCAAACUCCUACGGGAGGCAGCAGUGGGGAAUAUUGCACAAUGGGCGAAAGCCUGAUGCAGCAACGCCGCGUGAGCGAAGAAGGCCUUUGGGUCGUAAAGCUCUGUCGGGUAGGAAGAUAAUGACGGUACUACCCGAGGAAGCCCCGGCUAACUACGUGCCAGCAGCCGCGGUAAGGAGUAGUACA
rnacentral:rRNA from 1 species